rnacentral:rRNA from 1 species
UACGUAGGUGGCAAGCGUUGUCCGGAUUUACUGGGCGUAAAGGGCGUGCAGGCGGUUGGGUAAGUCUAGGGUGAAAGCUCCCGGCUCAACUGGGAGAGGUCCUUGGAUACUGGCCGACUUGAGGGAGGCAGAGGAGAGUGGAAUUCCCGGUGUAGUGGUGAUAUGCGUAGAUAUCGGGAGGAACACCAGUGGCGAAGGCGGCUCUCUGGGCCUUACCUGACGCUGAGACGCGAAAGCGUGGGGAGCGAACCGG